ACAUCCAGCGAACUUGGCAGAGAUGCCUUGGUGCCUUCGGGAACGCUGAGACAGGUGCUGCAUGGCUGUCGUCAGCUCGUGUUGUGAAAUUGUUGGGUUAAGUCCCGCAACGAGCGCAACCCUUAUCCUUUGUUGCCAGCGAUUCGGUCGGGAACUCAAAGGAGACUGCCGGUGAUAAACCGGAGGAAGGUGGGGAUGACGUCAAGUCAUCAUGGCCCUUACGAGUAGGGCUACACACGUGCUACAAUGGCGCAUACAAAGAGAAGCGACCUCGCGAGAGCAAGCGGACCUCAUAAAGUGCGUCGUAGUCCGGAUCGGAGUCUGCAACUCGACUCCGUGAAGUCGGAAUCGCUAGUAAUCGUGGAUCAGAAUGCCACGGUGAAUACGUUCCCGGGCCUUGUACACACCGCCCGUCACACCAUGGGAGUGGGUUGCAAAAGAAGUAGGUAGCUUAACCUUCGGGAGGGCGCUUACCACUUUGUGAUUCAUGACUGGGGUGAAGUCGUAACAAGGUAAGCGUAGCGAG
rnacentral:rRNA from 1 species